GGCCCGUUGGCCGAAUCGGUUAUGGCGCUUGACUACGAUUGCGUCAAUAUCAAGAGAUUCCAGGUUCGAGUCCUGGGCGGGUCA